UACCUUACCCUGGCAAUGGGAGAUACCUGUGAUCAAGAAGGCGGUUCAACCCAGGCGGAGGCUAGCCAUUGCACUGGCGCUGGUGCUGACAGCUGCUAAUUUCCAAAAUGUGGAAUCUCGAUUGCAUAAUUAGUAAUGGUAAGUGGGGAUGCGUUCGCCGCUCUCUCCUU